rnacentral:rRNA from 1 species
ACGUUAUUCGGAUUUACUGGGCUUCAAGAGUUCGUAGGCGGCUUGGCAAGUGGGGUGUGAAAGCCCUCGGCUUAACCGAGGAAUUGCGCUCCAAACUACCGAGCUUGAGUAGGCUAGAGGUGAGCAGAACUGAUGGUGGAGCGGUGAAAUGCGUUGAUAUCAUCAGGAAUACCGGAGGCGAAGGCGGCUCACUGGGACCUAACUGACGCUGAGGAACGAAAGCCAGGGGAGCAAACGGG